AUUGAACGCUGGCGGCAUGCCUUACACAUGCAAGUCGAACGGUAACGGGCCUUCGGGUGCCGACGAGUGGCGAACGGGUGAGUAAUGUAUCGGAACGUACCUUUCAGUGGGGGAUAACGUAGCAAAAGUUACGCUAAUACCGCAUAUUCUGUGAGCAGGAAAGCAGGGGAUCGCAAGACCUUGCGCUGAUUGAGCGGCCGAUAUCAGAUUAGCUAGUUGGUGAGGUAAGGCUCACCAAGGCGACGAUCUGUAGCGGGUCUGAGAGGAUGAUCCGCCACACUGGAACUGAGACACGGUCCAGACUCCUACAGGAGGCAGCAGUGGGGAAUUUUGGACAAUGGGGGCAACCCUGAUCCAGCCAUGCCGCGUGAGUGAAGAAGGCCUCGGUUGUAAG
rnacentral:rRNA from 1 species